UAUUAUUAUUUUAUUAUAUAUAUAUAUCUAUUUUUUUGCAGAACUAAUCUAGGGUCGAAAUCUAGAGAGAGAAAAUGUGAUAAAUAAUCUAAACCAGGCGUUACCUUCCAAACCUAUCUGAAGAAUCCAAUCCCAUGUAUGCCAAGCCCCAAGACAAGCGGUUAUGUCAGGUUUAGUGUUGGAAAUCAGCUUUGGUUACUUCAUACAGUUCAAGGCAAGUGUGUAGUUGAUAGGUUGAUCUGCUUUAGCAUCUUUAGUGCUAUCUGCUAUUAGUAAAUCUAAAAUGGUGCUAAAGAUUGGUUAGAUAUUCAUGUUUAAACCAAUAUAAGAUUAUAGUCCCUAUUUUCGAUAGCUAAGCAUAAU